CCUACGGGGGGCAGCAGUAAGGAAUAUUGCGCAAUGGGCGAAAGCCUGACGCAGCGACGCCGCGUGGGGGAUGAAGGUCUUCGGAUUGUAAACCCCUUUCGGGAGGGAAGAUGGAAUAGGGUAACCUAUUCGGACGGUACCUCCAGAAGCAGCCACGGCUAACUUCGUGCCAGCAGCCGCGGUAAUACGAAGGUGGCAAGCGUUGUUCGGAUUUACUGGGCGUACAGGGAGCGUAGGCGGUUGGAUAAGCCCUCCGUGAAAUCUCCAGGCUUAACCUGGAAAGUGCAGAGGGGACUGUUCAGCUAGAGGAUGGGAGAGGAGCGCGGAAUUCCCGGUGUAGCGGUGAAAUGCGUAGAGAUCGGGAGGAAGGCCGGUGGCGAAGGCGGCGCUCUGGAACAUUUCUGACGCUGAGGCUCGAAAGCGUGGGGAGCAAACAGGAUUAGAUACCCCAGUAGUC
rnacentral:rRNA from 1 species